UACGUAGGGUGCGAGCGUUGUCCGGAAUUAUUGGGCGUAAAGGGCGCGUAGGCGGCUCUAUAAGUCAAAGGUGAAAUCCCUCGGCUCAACUGAGGAACUGCCUUUGAAACUGUUGGGCUUGAGGCCGGGAGAGGGUAGUGGAAUUCCCAGUGUAGCGGUGAAAUGCGUAGAUACUGGGAGGAACACCAGUGGCGAAGGCGGCUACCUGGACCGGUUCUGACGCUGAUGCGCGACAGCGUGGGGAGCAAACAGGG
rnacentral:rRNA from 1 species